ensembl:ncRNA T13B5.10 ncRNA
UGUGGAGAGUUUGAAUUUUUACACAAGACCCUAACAGCUCUGCACAAAAAAUCAAAAUUUACGGAAAAUUGAAAAUACUUACUCUGUGGAACUCAUCCCAGAGUCCGUCAGUUCGGUGCUUGCAGAAUUCGACCUGAAAAUAGUUUUUCUUAACACCAUGCACCUUUAAAAAGUACUGUACCUCGUUUUGAAGAGAAGACUGCACGUGUUGCAUGUAAUUG